AAAUCAAAUCAGAUCUUAACUGCUUACAUUUAAGGAGCCUGGUCAUAUUUAAUUGUAAUAUGAACCAAUGAUUUUCUGAUUGCUGAUUCUAAGAGAGUCUGUGUGGAAAUCCUGUUUGACUUUUUGUCAUUUUACUUCUCUUUUCUGUUUUCCAGAACAGUUCGCCACAGUCGCUGUCCACAUGGGUCAGUGGGACCAAGCAGCACUCUGCUAAUGUGAGACUCUGACCAGCAACAUUCAGCAAGACCCAAGCAGUGUUUUCUAUCUCCCAGCUGGAGUUUUUUGUUUGUCUGUAACUGGAGAGUCAGAUUUUUGUUGAGGCUGGAGGAACAGCCUCACACUUGCAGAGGUUAAUACACGCUACUGAUCCCUGAUGGGAGAAUCAUCACCUCUGCCAACAAAGAAGCCUGAUGGAUAUUUGUUUACAGUCUGAUAAUGGGACAUCAUGCUGUGCAUCUUCACAGUUUGUCUCUUGAUUAUUAUUCAUACACAGUAAUGUGAAGCAUGCUCAUAUCUAGUAUAACCAACAUGGUGCUCUUCAUUUAUGGAGGCUGUUGAGUCUGAAUGCUGGAUGUUGUGUAUCUCUUGUUCUCUGGGCUUUGUUGUCCUCAGUCUUUUUGCAGGAUCAGAAAACAAAACCAGGAUGACCGUAAAUGUUUCUUCUCCAAUUGGAUGAUGAUAAGACUGUGACACGGGAUGCCACCUUUAGUCUUGUGAUGAAGCAAAGCUCAGGAAGAAGUGUGAUUAAAUGGUACCCACAUGUGUGCUGCUGAGAAGGAUGUACAGGGGCACCUGCAGCCAAAUCCAAGCCUCCUCAGAGCAGAGCGGCAGUUUGUGCUCACAGAUGGUGACGGUGUGGAGAGACGGUGGUGUUUCCUCAGAAGAACUAGCAGAGUCACAAAGGGCACGAGUCCUUCUCACCACCUUGACUUGUUGAUCAGUGGAUACACUUGUCUCCCCUUUAAAGGAGACACUCUUAGAGAGAGACGAUCAGAGUCAUCCUUAAAUAUGGGCAGGAUAUCACUAUUAGACUGUCUAACCUGCCGGAGCAGCACUGAAUGACCACCACACAUGAUCAGUUCCUGCAACAUUCAGCAGCUCUGCUUUUGGUGUCAAAUGUCCAACAGCUGGAGAGGAAACUACACCAGUGUACUGGGAUGUUUCACCAACACGUGCCAGACGCUGUUCCUUCAUGGUGACAUCACCAGAGACGGCCCCGCCCACCUCAGGACCUCGCCAUUGAUCAUGAUGAUUUUAAUGAUGACAGCGAGCGGAACUAAGACUGUAAAAAUCAGAAUGUUUAGAUGCUUUCUAAUUAUUAAUGAAUACUGAGAGCCUCUUUCUGUGUUUUGUCUGUUUUGUUUUUUUUUACCUCAUUUGUUACUAACAAAGUUCACCAAACUCACACAGUUUACAUUCUGUAUGUUUCCAUCUUUACCAGCCACACUCUACCCGCAAUUAAGAAAAUAGUCCUUAGAAAUUGUCGUUUUUCUCUUUUGUUAUUUUGUAAUUCAGUGAAUAUACUGCGCUGCUUCCUUUAAUUGCGUCUCACAUUGCUUUAAGUUUUUCCAGUGUUCAGUUAUUUUUUACUGCUGUUUGAAUUCUCUGUAUGUUUGACCCUGUAGACUGUUUAAUGGACU